AUAAGGAGAGUUAAGCUGAGAAGC
rnacentral:miRNA from 1 species